rnacentral:lncRNA from 1 species
UGGGAAGAAGAAGGUUGUCCUUUGGUGGGAGAAGCUGUCUUGGUGUGGCUUUAGGUAGGGAGCAGGGCGUUAUGGGAAGAUGGCAGCUAUUCUAUCUAGUAGCCGUGUUAGGGUGAGGGAAAUCUAUCAAUAGUGGCUCUUGGUCCUUGACAAAAUCUAGUUUUCCAUUUAUUUUAUUUUGGCUAGUGAACGUCCGCUGCCAGAGAGGCAACUACUGACCUAGGAGACUAAAGGAAGAAGAAGCCAUGUGGGGGCUGCAGCUCAGGGCUAGGAUGGCCCCUCCUCCCUCUGUCCCCAGCUGUAUGAUGACAAAGCUGUCACUAGUUAGGGCGCUCAAAUCCCAAGUGCCAGGACCUUCUGCUGUGCUGAGAGACAGAGAUCACUGCUGUCAGCUGCCGACAACCAAGAGUGCCAUCUGCAAACUGUGAUUCAUAAACGCGCUGUCAGGCCGCCAUCCGCCUCGACAUCAUAAAGUAACAAGAAGCCACAUUGUAAUCAAGG